GGCCAUACAUAAAAUGAGUUGAGUUUUCGAAGUAUGCUUUUAACAUACUAAUAAGUAAUAGUAAUAUCUUCCAGAAGAAAAGCUCCAAUAGAAAAAAACAAAUUUAUCAAUGGAAACGAAUUGCAAAACUAGGGUUUCUGCUAAAAUUCAGCCACAAAGAAACACAGAAAUCCCUAAAGAAGUUCAUCAUUAGACAAAAGCACGGCUGCUGGUCUUACAAGCAACAAUAGAUUCACUUAUCAAAUAAAACCGAUACACCAUAUUUCAAGCAAAUGUAAACGCGAUGAAAUCACAGGAGGAGGAGAGAAGCACGAAGUUUAUACUAGUUAAUGUCUUCAUCGUCGAAAUCGUCCUGGAAGGAGUUGAAGAAAUCCGCAUCGACCAAGCGGUGGAGGUCAAAAAUUGGCCCCUCGCCAAAGAGAUCUAAGGAUGAAUCGACGUCAUCGACGUCCAUCGCCACCGUGACACCGCCGCUCUGCUCUUCCGCCUCCCCAAAGUAGUCCAUCGCCACCGUCUUCAUUCUGCCACGUGCUUUCCUUUCGCUUCUAUAUUUACUAGAAAAACAUUCCAAUAUGUUUAGUCAGAUUCCUUCGCUUUUUCUCAACCCUCACAAGUAAUUGGGUAUAAAAAGAAGAAAAAUGAACAUAAAUCUAGCUAUACAUCCUGUUCUACAACAGAUCUGGUCGAUUUAGGUGAUAAAUCGCUGAUCCACAUACUAACAGAAACAUCAACACACCUGAUGCACCAAAUUUAGCAAAUCUAUCGACGAAAAAAAACAAGUAAACGAUGAACCAAAGUAUUAGUACAUCGGGAUUAGAUAGAGAAAACGGAGAGGAGAGGAGCAGGAAGGUUAAAGAUGAGUGUGUAUAAUUGUGUAAACAGUGAAGAUAGAGGAAAUUUAUUGCUUUUUUGUGAAGGUUUUGAAUCUGGAUUGGAAUUUUGGCAGUUGCUUUUGGCUUGGGUGGGAAAAAGCAAUUUCGGAAGCCGGAAAAUUUUCACAUCCGGGCUCAAUUACGAUUCUGCCCUUGUCCUUGCGUCCAAGUACAGCUUCUCUGCUGUCUGGAUUUUGUCAUUAUUUAUAGUUAAUCAAUUAGGCUUUACAUACCAAUUUUAUGGGCUUAAAUUCAUAUAUCUCAUGUAUGGGCCUAGCCCAAAUAUAUGCUUUCAAUUCUUUUCGUCGUAGAUAAGACAACUAGCUUCUUUUUAAAGAUUACUGACUUUCAUCUAAUAUCUACUAGUACAUUCGCCCGUGCGAUGCACGGCGAACAUAGUUUUGCAUUAAAAUUAAACGAUGUAGCGUGUGUAUCGAUUAAGCGAUUAGGAGUUAAUGUCUAAAACCGAAUGUCUUGGGUUCGAGUCCAUGUGGCUUGGCCUUUAAAUUUCUUUUUUUAAUCAUGUUAAUUUAUCAAAAAUAAAUAAAUUAAAUGAUGUAUCAAAUAAAUAAAAAAUAAAUAUUAAACAUAGCGAGAAUAUAAGUAAAUGUAAAUUAUUUUUUCUUAAAAAAUAAAAUAAUCUACAUCAAUUACUCAGUAAAGAUCCUUAAUUUUAUUUUAUAAUUUUGAAAAGUAUCAUUUUUUAUUUUCCAUCUAUUUUAUGGAAAACUUUAUUUUCUUCCUUAAAAUUAUAGAAUAAACACAUCAUUCAAAUUAAAAGAAACGAAGAAACAAUAAAAAAAGAGUUUUCACAUCACAAUAUAUAGUUUUAAAACAUAAGCUAAUCAUGCAUAAAAUUAAUUUUUUCUAAGUUAGCUCAUUACCUAUGUCAUCUUAUUAGAAAAACUUCAAUUGAUAAGUAAGAAAAUAAAUUAUAUUAUUAGAAUUUAUUAGAAAACUAAUAAAAGAGUUGAAUAAUUAUUUGAUACCAAAUCAAAGAUUUUGCAUUCAUCUUUAAUUUAAGAUGUAUAUAGAAUAUUUUUUAUAAAUAAAAUUUGAUUUUAUUAAAAAAUCAACAAAAUAUGAAAAAGAGAAUAUGAGAGAGAGAGAGAGAAUAGAAAAUUGAAGAAUGUGUAUGAUGAAAGAGAGGAGAGAGGAGAGAGAAAAUAUAUGAGAUAUGAGAUUUGAUGAGUUUUAUAAAUACUCUUUAAUUGAUUUUUUUAAUUAUAAUUUUGUCACAAACUAUGUUUUCAUAUAAUAAAUAGUUUUCUCCGCUUGGAAUUGUAAUUCACUGCUGAAACCGGGCCUAUAUAUGCGGGCUAGACGGGCCUGGUUGUUAUGGACCUGGGGCAGGCCCAUAAUGCGCUAAAUUACUGGAAAUACUUUCUUAGAUUAAAAAUUAGGGAAAAUAGCACCAAAAUACUUGUAGUUUCGCGAAAUUCGCAUAUUUCCCUUGAUUUUCAAAACAUAGUGAUAAAAUCCUUGAUCGUUUAUCUGAUGCUUAAUUUUCCCUUAAAAUUGAUCGGCCCUUAAAAUUAUGAUAACAUGGCUGUCGGAAAUCCACGUAGGAUCAAAUUUCCGGCGAAGCAAACGAUAAGUACUCACUUAAAACGACGUAGUUUUAUAUCUAAUUAGGGGAUUUAAUGAAUUCCAAAUCAAAAAAUCAGGGCAAAUUUCUUUUCGAAUUGAAAUUAGGGUUCUUGAGAGCAAAAACCCAAUCCAUGUCUUCGUCUUUGUCAUCCCGCCGGAGCUUCACCCAUGAGGGUCGAGUAAAAUGUGGCCAUGGACUCCCAGCUUCAAUGUAUGUAUCACACACUGAUAAGAAUCCGGAGCGGCGAUUUUAUACAUGCCCUCGUCCUUCGGUAAGUUUUCGAUUUUGAGAAUUAUGGUUUUAAUCAUUUGAAAAUAGUGGAACGAUUGUCUUGGAAUGUUCAUGUAGUCGAAUGAUUGUGGAUUGUGGACUUGGAUUGAUCCUGAGCUGUCUCCAUUCUAUAAGCAAGCCUUCAAUACCUUAAAGCUUCGAAUGAGGAAUGAAUUACCAAAAACUGAGCCGUAUGGUGGAGCGGAUGAAUCUGAGUUGAAGGCCAUGAUGAAAGAACUUCAAGAAGAGCUCAAUGAAAUGGCAUUGAAGAUGAAGCACAUGUAUAGAUUGGUUGUUGUGUUUGUAGUUUUCUUUGUUGUUUUUAUUGCACUCAAAUGAAGGUGAAUUGUGUCACCAUUGUAUGGAUCCUUAUUAGCAUUGGAAUGAAAUGCAAAUUUGCACUUUUGUUGAAAUCUUUCCUUGCUUGAUAUCUAAUUAUGAAAUCUAACUCCAUUCAACUGAAACUAAAUUCUAUGAAAGCAAGAAGUGAUACAAAUGAUUCCAAAUUAUGCGAAAUCAACUCCAUUCAACAGAAACUGUCUUUACAAACUGUCAACCAAAGAUAAAAUCAUUCCAAAAGUAUUCUAGCUUAAAAUAAACUAACUUAAAUAGUCUUCACAAAAAGAAACCAUUGCCAAACACAAAAUAUUCAAGUCUUCAACAAAAAACCACAGUGGACAGCCUUCUAGCUUUCCAUAUUACUUGGUCCAGCUGUGCUCUCUUGAGUUUGAGGAAUUUGUGUAGUAGAUGAAUUGUCUUUGCUUGUUGAACCUCCAGCCCUCCUAACAUGUGUCAGUCCACUUUGUUGUGGUGACUGAUUCAAUAGAGAGUUACCAUCUAGAUUGAGUAUCAUCAUAGAGUUUAAUUGGAGAAUUUAAAGCAUCUUACCCUGUAAUAGAUAUUUCCAGAGCCUGCAACAUAGCAACCUACACCUUGUUUUGCCGCAUUCCUCUCCCUCGCCUCUCACUAUCCCAGACUCAGUAUUGCCUUCCCUGCCACGACCUCUUCCUCUUCCCCUUCCCCUCCCUCUUCCUCUUGUUUGAGAACUCUCAUCUGCUCUUGUAUUAGAACUCUCCUCCAUUUGGUUGUGUUCUUGUUUCAGUGUUUGUAGCACUCCCCUCAUUAGCAACAUUUCUAGUCCUUGGCCUUCCAGGCUUGCCCUACAUGCAUAACAUUAUGUUAUAAAGCAGUCAACAUACAUACCUGCUCUUUGGGUGGUUUAACCACUGUCAUGUUUUUGCAUCCUCUAGAGUUAUGUCCUGCUUGGCCACAGUUUUUGCAAGUAACUUUUUGACCUUGUCUUCUUAGCUUGUUAUGAUUGAUAGGAUCCACCUCAUGUGCUGCCCUCUUCCUCUUCAAUUUAGGCCUUCCUGGCAUCUUCCUUAUGGCAGGAGGUUUGACAACGUAUCCCUCAACUGCCGGCCACAUUCGUUGCCCAUUCAAUGGCUCUAAGCCAAAUGAGUAGGCUUGCUUGUAUCUCUCAAUGGUAUAGUAGUCACUAACAAAUUUAGCAGGAUCUUGAUCCAUGAACUCAGUAGCAGCUAUACCAUGAAUGCAAGGAAUGACUACCAUUUGCCACACUCUACAUGUGCAUGUUCUAGUUUCCACAUGGACAACAAAUUUAUCACCCUCCAUGUCAAUUUCAAACUUACCCCCCAAUGCAGGGUAAGGAAUGCAGUGCUUUGAUUGUGCAUUUAGUUUUUCCAGUUUCUUUCUAAUCGAUGGUGUAAGGGUAUCAUCAACCUUCUCAAUGUCACUUAGUUUCUUAACUUGCCUAACCAUCAAACUAAUCCUAAUCUCCUCUAACAUGUGGAUAACAUGUUUUCCUCCAGCGUUCAAAAUAUAUCCAUUGAAAGUCUCGGAUAUAUUGUUAUCCACCAUGUCAGAGCACACAUUAGCCGAUAGGAAUACCUUGCAAAACUUCUUCACAUCUCUAUGUAUGAAGUCCUGAAAUGCAGCCACAUCUUCUUGCUUCAUAUCUUCAAUUGCUUGUUUGUAAUCCUCCAAGUAUGUAGAUCUCACUGCCCUCCAGAAAAUGUUCUUGAGUAUGGCUCCUUUAUGCUCUUUUUUUCAGUUCAUGUACACAUGCCGAGCACAAUUUCUAUGCUCGGCAUAAGGUACCAGUAGGUUCACCACUGCUUCAAGACCCUACAAACACCACACUAUAAGCAUUAGGCAAUGAAACUGUUAUAAGCAAUAGGAAAUAAAACAAGAGUUAAAUACCUUUUGUUGAUCUGAUAUAAAGGUCCAGCCAUCACCACUUCCAAUUUCCAAAUCCUCAACAAGACAUUUCAUGAACCAUGUCCAACAAUGUUCAUUCUCUAUCUCUACAGCUGCCCAAGCUAUGGGAUACAUUUGAUUGUUCUCAUCUUUACCUAUUGCACAAGUAGAAUACCCCCUAAAAAUGUCUUCAAAUGACAACCAUCUAGGCCCACAACAGGCCUACAACCUGCCUUAAAACCCUUCCUCAGUGAGCUAUAUCCCAUGUACAAACCCUUGAAUAAAUUUCCAUCUGCCAAAAGCAAUUCAAAUCGACCCUCUCGAUCAACUCUCCUAUUUUCAGCCAAGUAUCUCCUAAUGAGAGCAUAGUGCUCAUCCACAGUCCCUCGAAUGAGUUCAAGAGCCUUCUGCUUGCUCUAUAAAGCCUAUCCUUAUGCACUUUAGUGGCAAAUCUCUGCCAUAUAUCUCCCUCAAUCAGCAUAGACAAAUGAGGUCUAACUUUAAAGACAUUGAUGUACCUCUUAGUAUCCAAUUACUACUCAUUAACUUAUUGUUCAUUGCCUUUCCACAUCUAUGUCUACCCCCAAUGGUUUUGAUUUUGAAUGAGCCAUCUCUCUACCCUCUAGCAUAAAUCCUCCAUGGACAACUAGACUUACAGUAUGCCUCACAGAAAUCAUCUACACCCUCUUGAAAUGAACAAAUUUGUGGUUCUCAAUUGCCCAAUUUUGGAUUGCAGCCCUGCAUUGCUAACCAUCCUGAAAUCAAGGCCUAGAUGGAGAUCUAAUUCCUUAUGAUUGCAUUUAGGGUCAUAUACUACCUUCUUCUUUUUUUCCCUAACCACAACCUCCUCUUCAUCAAUUUCAGAUGAAUCAACAUCCCCUUCACUAGCAGCAUAAUCAGAGUCUACAUCUAUAUUCCCUACUAAGUCUUGUUCUGUUCUUACAUCAUCAUCAAUCAACUAAAAAAUAUUGGGCCUUUUUGCUAACCUUCUUCUAGACUGGACAUAUUCUUCAUCAUCUGAAACUAACUCAUCAUCUGCUAAACCAUCAAACACAUUAUGAUCAUCAGAACCCUCUAUAGAAGGGGUUUAGUCACUAUCUUCUUCACUCACAUCUUCAUCUCUCUAAUCAUCCCUUCCCUCUAAACCCCCCAGCCCAUCUCUUCCCCCCUCUUCUCCCUGAUCAUCCCUUCCUUCUACACCCCCCUGCCCAGCUCUUCCCUCCUCUUCUCCCUGAUCAUCACUUCCUUCUAAACUCUCCUGCCCAUCUCUUUCCUCCAAUUCUACCUGAUCAUCUCUACUAUCUGAACCUUGAACUUCCACUUCCAAGUCCUUAUCAUUACCUAAAUCAAUAUCAUCCCCAUCAUCUGCCAUCUCCCCACCCUCAACAUAGACAAUUAGUACUCUUUGUUUAGGUUCUAAAGUACCCAAAAGUUCCAUUACCUGCCUAUCUGAAUUUAUAGUCUUAUAGGUACUACUUUCCUCUAGUCUCCAUCAAAUAUCUGCCCAUUUUGUGUAGCCUAGUUGUUCUAUGAUUUCAGUUAAAUCAAAAUAGCCAAAUAAAUCGGGAUCAAGAUGAGACCUCCAAUCAACCCACACCACCAACAUAAACAUCAACCCCAUUAACUGGUUCAAACCGACCCCCAUGACGCACAAACAAAGAAAAUACAUCACUGUAACAAGCAAAACAAUAAACCAUAAAUCAGCAACAAAACAUCGACAACAUGCAUUGCAAAAGAUAACUCUAACUACACUUACAUGCAAUAAAUUAAUUACCAUCAACUACAACAAAAUAACCAAACCAAAAAUACCAUCUUUCAAUAAGCACUUACGGAUUAGACAUCGCUGGUGACGAUGAAGAUAGUUGGAACACUUCAAAACGGCGAGAAGGCACCUUUCUUCUUCCUCAGACGGCGAUGGCAGAUAAGGAGUUUGAAGCGACUGUUGGUGUUUUUUACCUUUCAAAGUUAUCUUUUACAAUCUAAUUACAGUAGGGUUAUUUAAUUCGUGUAGAAAACGACGUUUUGCGUCUAAUUUAAUGACUCAGCACAAGCCUUGCCACAUAGGUGACACAUCAAUGCAAUUAGGUGCCGGAAAACGUCAUUAAGGGGAAAUUAAGCAUCGGAUAAACGGUCAAGGAUUUUAUCACUAUGUUUUGAAAGUCAAGGGAAAUAUGCGAAUUUCGCGAAACUACAAGGAUUUUGGUGCUAUUUUCCCUAAAAAUUACUUAGUUCCCUAAUAAUUAAUAAAAGCAAAGAAUUGUAUUUAACUCAUUAAAAAAUAGAUUAAUUGUUGGUUAAUGUACGAAUUUAUACCCCUUUAGCAAUUUUAUGGAGUAUAAUCUUUGAAACGUUGCAAUAACGUCAAUAUACUUUGAUUUGUUACAAAAUUAAAACUUUUAAUUUGUUUUUUUGGUAAAUUUACAAUAUUAGAUAAAGAAAUUAAGAGCAACAUCACAGGGACUCGAACCCCUCGAACCCAAGACCUUUGACUUUAGACAUUAACCCCUUACCGCUUGACCAACACACGCACAAUCAUCAAAAAAUUAACUUGUCUUGCUUCAUUGAGUAUCCCCAAAUUAGGAUUGCAUGGUUUUAAUAUUUUUGGUUCGAUCAAGAUUAGGUUAAAUAUACCAACUUUCAUAUAACAAGAAACUUAACUAGUGAUUAGGGAUGUCAAUGCAGCCCGAAACCCGUGGGCCGACCCGAAUAACCCGACAAAAUUAGAGGGUUAGGGUUGAAAAAUCGCAACCCGAAAAAACCUUAAGCCCGAUUAGCCCGCACCCGACUAACCCGGAACCCGAUAGGGCUAGCCCGAAAACCCGAUGGGCUGGCCCGGUGGGCUGACAAAAUUGUGACUGAUGCAUUCAGUUACAACUUCUGCUAUGUUUAGAUCUAUGGUAUUUGCUUCAAUAUAUAUAUGUAGCCUCAUUAAAAAAAGUGAAAUUAAUUAGUUAGAAUAUGUGUGUGUGUGUGCGAUUUUAUUAAGAAAAGAAAAGAAAAACCAAAAACAACCCUUGAAAGCACAAGAAAAGCAGACUAAGGGCGGAGCCUCAUUAACACCUUUUCAUGGAAAACCCCAAGGGAAAAACCAUGAAAAGGAAAAAGAGUACCCGUCUACUGGAAAACAAAAACGAAAAAGGAGAGAGCGGAAGGGAUAGUUUCCGUAACUUCGGCCUAACCAUCGUCCCCAAACAAUCCCGGCUCUCUCCCCAACAAAGAAACAGAAACAAGAGCAAAAAGGCCGGUGAAACGCCGUCGCCAAAAAGCCACGCACCCCAACCAGCAAGAUAACCAGAGAGCCAAUGAACCAUUCGAACAAUCAUCUCGACCGGAUGUGGCUAUGAGUGGCCAUAUCCAGAUUUACCGCAACCUGGAUUUCCUCAAUGGCGUGGGGCCGCCAUCCUUCCUCUCUCGCAUGAUUCGCCAUAAUGUCAGCAGGUUUAUUUCCUUCUCUAUAGAUAUGAGACACUUGAAGUUGAAAGCAAGAAAGAAUGCUCAAAACUUUGUUCCAAGAAGCCACAAACCGCCAAGGUACCGCCGUAGAACGCUCUGAAAGCAAAUGAACGAUAUACGUUGAGUCCGACUCUACCCAAAGAUAAUGCCAGCCCCGGUCAUGAGCUAUCAAAAUGGCUUUAAUGACAGCAAGGAGUUCAGCUUCAAAAGCAAACCCCACCCCCCCUUGUAAUGAAAACAGCCGCGGACCCAGCUGAAGUUGUCCCGGAAGACACCACCCGCAGCAAUGUUUCCAGGGGAGCCCAUCGCCGAUCCAUCAGUGUUAACCUUGAUCCAAGGGGAAGCCGGGGGCCACCAAUGCACCGUUAUAAACUCCAUCGGAGGUGCAGCGCGCGAACCGACCCCAAUAGCCGAAGGAUCGAAUAUUUUCCAAGAAUUAUUCAUAUGUCCGAGUUAAAGUUAUUCUCCAUUUCUUUGUAAGACACCUUUACAGACGAAUGAUUUGUCAUGAUCAAAUUUGCAUUAUCAAAUAUGCAAGAAUUCCUGAGAGACCAGAUAGCCCAUAAAUACGAUGAUACCCGCUCUCCAAUACAGUCCAACUGAGAACUCAGUUAUGGCCCAAGCACGAACAAGGAAACUAUGAAUAUCUGGAGCCACAAUAGCUCAGUGAAUUGAAACCAAGUUAAAAACUCAAGCCAAAUAGUACGAACUUGGCUGCAAGACCACAAGAUGUGAUCAAUGGUCUCCUCCGCAGCGAAACAAAAGACACAAUGAUUGGGCAUAAUCAUUCCGUGUCUGAUCAACGAUCAUAAGUCGGAGACGUCCAUGAAGGACUCUCCAACAGAUUAAAGAACGACGCACCGGAAUAUAAGGUUUCCAAAUCCAAGACCCCAGCUUACUUAGGAAACCUAUGGCAAUUAUUAGAAAAAGCGAGAGCAGCAGUACGCGCCAUGCAGAGAAGGUUUCCAAAACGAGUGUCCUUAUGAUUGCCGAGAGGGAAACAAGAUGUCGGCACAAUUUCCGGAUAAUUAUUAAUAAACUCUUGAGUAAAAUGCCAAAUCCAUCAUAAAAAUAGUCACCACCGAAUGGCGAGAAGAUUCGCAACAAAAUGAGGAACCACAUUUUUCAAUGAUUUAUAACCAACCAAUCGUCGCACCAGAAGUUCGUGGAAGUCCCAUCACCAACAUAGCAAUAAGAAUUAUCAACCAGAGCACUAACCUCAUCUCUUAGACCCAGCCAAACCGAAGAAGAAGUAGAAUCACACCUCACCCUUCCAAACACAUCCAAAAAGCGAGAAUGAAGCAUCUGAAAUCCGAAACCCUUGCCACAUAUAACCUUUCAAGCCAUCUUCAUCAGAAAACAUUUAUUCAUAAUAGAGAACGAAUGAACACCCAAACCCCCUUCCUCCUUAAGGGCGCAGACGCGGCUCCAGGCGACCGAGCAAGACGGAGAUUUCAUGAUAUCCCCGAUCCAAAUAAACUUUCGACACUUCUCAUCAAGCUCAUGAAUCAAGGACCUCGGCCAUUUAUAAACCAACAUAGAAUGAGUCACAGAGCUCUGGAUAACCGAUUUGACCAAGCAAAGACGGCCAGCCAUGGAAAGAAGGCGGCCUCUCCAUCUGGAAAAUUUUGCCACAAUCCGAUCAUGAAUCGAUCGAAAAAAAGAGGCUCUGCCGCGACCAUGAAAAAUAGGCACUCCCAAGUAAGUGAAGGGAGCCCUUCCACACAGGAAGCCCAUCUCCCGCAAAAGAGGUCUUGGAAGAGAAAUAAAUAUGCGAUUUCUCAUUGCUACAGACCUGUCCCGACAUCCAACUAUAGAAGUCAAGAAUCUUCUUAAUCGUCUUAGCAUUUCUAACAGAAGCCUUACAGAAAACCAGGAUACAUAUAAAAGAUGGGUGGGAAACGGAAUAUUACGAGUCAUAUACAUAGGAGUCAGAUGACUAGAAGCAACACAAUUUAUGAACAGAGAGCUAAGGACAUCUUCAGCAAUGCCGAACAGGAUGGGGGAGAGAGGAUCGCCUUGUCGAACACCUCUCGUGCAACCAAAAUAACCAUGAAUCUGACCAUUGUAAAGAAUUGACAAUCUAGCAGAAUGGAGGAUGAUGUCAAUCCAUUUAAUAAAUCUUCCAUUGAACCCGUAAGUUCGAAGCACAUUCAGCAGAAAAUCCCAACAAAGGGUGUCAAAAGCCUUCCUAAUGUCAAUUUUGCAAGCCAUAUUCUGACCAUGCCCCAUGCGACGCAUGGAAUUAAAACCCUCCGAUCCCAGAAGAAUACAGUCAUGAAUAGAGCGACCCUGAAUAAACCCAAAUUGAUUCUGAGAGACAUAAAUCGAAGCAACAAAGCUGAGUCUCGCAGCCAACACCUUAGAGAUAAUCUUGAAGAAAAAGUUGGAUAGAACAAUCGGUCUCAAGUCAGACACCGAAACCACAAUCUUUUUCUUCGGAAUGAGAACCAUUGUCUCGAAUUGCAGCCCGUAGGGAGAUAAGAUCUAAGAAAAAAGCGCGGACACCCUCCAAUAUCUCUUAAUGAUAUCCCACAAACUGAAAGAAUUUACCAGAGAACCCAUCAGGACCUGGGAACUAUUAGAUCCAUGCCAAAAACAGCAGCAGAAAUUUCUUCAUCAGUAGGGAUGCCGAAAGAAUGGCAUUAUGCUCAUCGAAACAACAUGAUCAAUAACUGCCUCAAUAGCUGUAAUGUCAACGUAGAACCCGAAUCAUCAGUAAACAAAUUUGUGAAAUAAUCCACAAUAUGUCCCCAAUACGGUUUGAUCCAACUCCAUAUUCCCAUCGAUCAUCAAGACUGAAUCUUACCAGGCUUAUGUUUAUAACGUAGCGAAGCAUGAAAGAAAGCAGUGUUUCGAUCCCCAUCAUUUAACCAAGAACCCGGCUUUUUUGCUGUAACAGAUGCUCUUCUGGGAGAGCGCCACAUUAAUAUUAGCCUGUGCUUGUAUCUCUUGUCAAAAAGUCAUCCGUAUAACCUGGGAAGAAAUCUCAUCUGGAUAUCCAUCAAAUCUUUCUGAGCAGCAGCACAAACUUGUCAACAUGCCCAAAAGUAUUUUUGUUCCAGUUUGCAACGCCCGUUUAAGCCGUUUGAGUUUGCCAUAACCAAAAAAAUCGGGCACCUAACCUCCAAAUCUUGAGACCAAGAAUUACCCACCAUGCUCAAAAAACUGGGAUGAGACACCCACAUAUUGAGAAAUCUGAAAAAACGACGGUGCCUUUGAGGUGGCAAGCAACAUUGUAAAACAAUAGGAGAAUGAUCAGACGUAACCCUAGCAAGAUUCUGAGUGUGAACGGAGAACCAAAAAUCCGAGAAAGAAUCAGAAUACAGGGCCCGAUCCAGCAGAGACUCAACAUGAUUUGGCAUGAAACGACGACCUGACCAAGUAAAACGCAGACCCACAACAGAGGAUUCAAUAAAACCAAGGUCGCUAAUAAACGAGCAGAAAUCCCGGCAAGAAAUCCGAUCAGGCAUACGGCUGCUGACUCUCUCGUGAGCUCCCUUAACCGCGUUAAAGUCGCCUAUGAUCACCAUACUACCCAAAGCAAAACGUAGCAGAUCGGCCCAAAGUCGCCGUCUCUCCACAUAAGUCGAAGCACCAUGAACCACCGCCACACGAAAAUCCAAAGAAUUCCAAGAGCAGUCGGCAAUAAUCACCUGGUCAGAAGAAAAAACCAGCCGAAAAUCCACAUCAGGGUGAUGGAAAAUCCAAAUAUUAGAACAUUUGUCUUGCCUCAUAUUUUGAUGACCAGGUAGGAGAUUAAUAGAAGACCAAAAAUGAGAAGUUUGCUUUCUGAAAUCCGACUUUGGCUCAAUAAUACCAACAAUCAUCGGCGAAAAAGUGUGACAAUGCUCCCAAAGGAUACGUUUGGAUUCAUCCGUGAAACCACGGACAUUCCAAGUAAAAAUAUUCAUCAGAAAAAAUUACUCAGAUGCGGCGUUAGCCGCUUCCACUUCAUCAGCCCAGCUUUGCGACGCAAUAUUACUCAUCGAACGAGCACUGUGAGAUCCGCUAAAAUCCACCACAUAAUCCCUCGGUUGACUCCCAGCAUCAAACGCUGCUUUAAGCUUGCUGUCAAUCAACAUAACCGAAUCCGGAUUUGGCAUCACCGGCGGCUUCCUCAACCUGCUUUUGAUGCCAUCAUCAGCAGGAAGUUUCCUGUCAGACUUAGGAGGCCGCCCACGGGGCCUUUUAACUUGUUCUUUAGAAACCAGCUCACUUGCCGUUGCCUUUAUUUGUUCUCAGAGCAACCAUUUCUUUGUGAAUCUCCUCAGCUUUCUGACUCUGGUGUCCGGAUCACAACGUCUGUUCCGGAGCUUGGAGACAUUGGCCGGUUAGACUCCGUCGCCAAUGUCUCAUCGCUCCAGAAUCUGGUAUCCAAAAGCCCCGGCCCAAAGUGCUUCCUGAACAGGCAGACUGUCGAACAUCUUCCCUAGUGUGGAGAAAUGACGGUAGCAUUCUCCGCCAACCUUCUUCGUUCCAGAAAAAGCUUGAGAUUUUGCUUUGUGACUCGUCGCCAAGGCUUGUUGCAACAUCCUGUACCGAAUGGUAUGUCCAGAGUUGUGGAGACUUUGGCCGGUAAGACGCGUCGCCAAGUCUCCUUCUCGCCAGGACUUAAGAACAGUUGUCCGGUUAAGCCGCCUUCGGUGUCUUCUUUCCAGAAUUGUAGGAGAAUUGGCCGGUUAGAGCGUCGCCAAUAUCUCCUCUUUCCUGAAAGAACCUGAGACUUUGGCCGGUUAUUGCCGUCGCCAAAGUCUCACCGCAUCACUUGAGAGUCCAAACCACACGGAGAAGCUCCAUUCUUUUGCACGUUUCCACAACUUGAAAAUCUCCCUGAGCGCGGACUAGAACCCCCAGAGGGUGACGAACCAUCUUCUCAGAUCAUAAUCUUCAACGACCCAUCCUUGUGAGAAAAAUUUCUCCAAUAAAUCAGGACCAGUAACUUCUUCUUCGCGCCAUGCUUUCAUCUCUUCAAGGGUCUCAAAACCAUUGCAUGAGUAGUACAAGUUUAUCUCUCGGCUCCAAUGAGACACCUUCUUGCCGGAAUAAAAGCAUCAUUGAGGCGCACUCUCUGUUGUAGGAUCUUAGCAACUUCCAGUCCUGCCAGCAGAAGCGCCAAAUGCGUAUUAGUAGUAUUAACUUUAUUCCAACCGGCUUAAAACGUCGACAUUUUCCCUACUAUGCCCUGUAAUCCUGCAUUGAGAAAAAAAGAGGAGUUGUUCGUAGUAAAAUUCCACAUAAUAAGAAGCGUCAUCCCCUUGCACAACAUGUGUUCUUGAAGAGGAAGCGCCAGAUCACCUCAAUCAACAUUCUGGCAAAUGCCACUCUCCGUAAGCCGAAGCCCCGUCCAUUUUAAUCGAGUUCCAAUGACAUUGCAAUAGCUGUGAAAACUUCAGGGUGCCAAAGUUCAACUGAAGAUAAUAAAUACGAACCCAGACUUGGCAAAGGAGAAUUUCUUAUACGGAUCAAACCCUUGUCCAUUCUCUCAGCCGAAGCGAUCCCUGUGACAGCUCCCAAUAGUUCAGUCUGAGCAAUCUUCUUGUCAACCAAAGUCUGAAACUUAAGAGUAAAAAAGCCUUUGCUCAUAGGAAUUAUUCCAGGGAGUAGGGAUUUGCCAUAAGCUUGUAGUCCUGUUGAAUAGCCGAAGUAGGCCUCGUUUAUCUCUUUCUUGAGAAGAAACGCCAAUCAAAGAAAAUUUAUACUCUUCCUGCCGAGUUUUACAAAAUUCCACGGGCAACUUAAGAAUGAAUCCUUGCUCAGAAACUUCGCCCUCAAGCCGUGAAAGAUGCGCAAAAACUCCGGCCUCCUGAAGAUUUAGGAGCUGUUGCCAUCGCAUAAGUUACGACCCGCUUCAGAAGAACUAGGGUUAUCAGCACCAUGAUGGUAUUAUUCAAGGAAGAUACCUUGUGGAAUCCCUCGCCAAACCUCAGCAGCUCGUGAUUUCACCGUCAUCACACGAGGUCGAAGUAGGCCGGAAAGAGUUUGAUUCCAUAAUAUUCUCCUGCAUCAAAAGCAAAUUCGACUGGGGACUUGGCCGGUUAGAUGCCGUCGCCAAAGUUCCCAUCUCCCUCGGAGACCUUGGCCGGUUAGAUGCCAUCGCCAAGGCCCCCUCCGCUUCGUUUCUCGGAGAUCUUGGCCGGUUAAAUGCCGUCGCCAAGGUCUCGCUAACUACCGCUUCACUAACAUGCGCAGAAACCCUAGGCUGUGAAAACGAUUCAGAAUUGUCAUGGCAAACAUGACGAGAAGGAGAAAAGUUAUUGGAAACGGGGGGAAGAUUCAGCCCCGCUCUAUCGUGAAGCAUCGCCGGCGAUGAAACAGCGGUCGUCGACGAGGUGUACAUGAAGACGGCUAGGGUUUUCCAGCCGGAAAGGUCAUGACGCUCUCUCCUUUCAUUCAACUUUAUUUCGAUAAAUCUAAAUAACUCAUAAAUAAAUAGAUAAAUAUAAAAAAGGUAAAAAGAAUGGAUAUUAAAAAAACAAAAAUUAAAACAUAAAUACAAAAGAAAAACAGUAAAAUAAAAUAAAAAACUAAAAAGAAAAACAGUAAAAUAAAAAAAAAAACUAAAGAAAAAAUAAAAUAGAAUAAAAAGGAAAAAAAAUAAUGAAAAAAAUAAAAUACAAAAAAAAACUAAAGAAACAGGAAAAGAAAAAACAAACGUAAAAACAAAAGAGAAAAAUCCCAAAAAUGGAAAAAAAGGAAAAAAAAAAGAACAAAAAGAUAAAAUAAAUAACAAAAUUGCAGAAAAUGUAGUUAGUGGGUUUCGAACCCUCUCCUCAUAGAAUAUGAAUUGUGUCCAGCUAUUGCCACUACACCAAAGCUUGUUUUUGUACCUAUUUGUUACAAGCUGUUAUAUAUAAUCAUAAUGCGGAUCCGGGUCAAACCGGGUCAAACCCGUCGCAUACCAUGCGGUGGGUCGCAUACAAUAAUUUGCGUUUUUAUAUUCUAUAUUUAUUACACUUUAUUCCUAGUGGACCCACUCACAACACCUUUAUCACUCUAGUCAACUAUCUUUAUCACUUUAGUCAACUACCCUUAUAUUUCAUCCACAUCAUAUUUUUCAGUUUUCUUAGUCUCCGUGCCCACAUCCAAAUGGGUCAUUAAUUCAUGGACGGAGGGCGUAUAAUGAAAUGGUUGGUGCAAAUAGCCACCUCAGCAGUAAAACAAAGUUAACAAUAGGUCGAAAUUUUCUUAAACAAAGUAAAAGAUUACAACAAUUUUGACAAUUUGUUGAUAUUUUAACUUCUACGGCAUAAUAUGUGUUCAUGUUUUCGGUUGCCAACAAGAUAUUCCCGUGCAAAAAAUGUAGGGUCAUUCUAGAUUUGAAAAUAAUAUUAAGUUAUUGGAUUCAAUUCUAAACAUAUGAAAAUUAUAGUCCACGAGUUUUAAUAAAUACUCCAUCCGUCCCACGAAGCAUGACACAGUUUCCUUUUUGGUCUGUCCCACGAAGCAUGACACGUUUUUAAAAAUGGCAAAAAAAUUAUCCUUUAUUCACAUUUUCACAUUUUCACCUACCACACUUAACACACAAAAUACUAAUUUCUUAAUUCCCGUGCCGAAAAGAAGUGUGUCAUACUUCAUGGGACGGAGGGAGUAUUUGGUAGAUAAUAUAUUAAGUGGAGAAAGUAACCUAUUCAUUUCUAGAAAAAAAAUGAUAAUAUGUGAUAAAUAAUAAGUGGGGUUAUAUCCUAAAAUAAAAGUGAUAUUUUUUUAUAAAACAGAUAAAAAGAAAAGAUAUUUUAUUAUAGGACGCAGAGAAUACUAAUUUUGUCCACAAAUAAACAUUACCAACCAUCAAAAUUUGUAUUACCAAGCAAACAUGUAGUUUUACUAUUAUUAUCCUCAUUAAUGUCUCAAAAAAAAAUCAUAAAAAGAUUAAAUUUAAAGUGUAGAAUUAUUCUGUUGAUUAAAAUGAAACGCCUUGAUAAGAUGAUAAAUUCAUCUCUAAUAAUUCGAAAAUGGAAGGAGCUAGUAACUUUUUAUCCAACUUUUUGUCCAUCAAGAUUAUCAUAACAAAAAGAAAAAUUAUAACCCGAUAAUAAAUACUCCAUUCGUCUAAUAAGAAUUUAUCACAUUUUCUAUUUUCCUCAGUCCCAACAAGGGUGUAUCACUUUUAUUUUGGGAUAUUACUCAACUUUCUACUUUUAAUCACAAUCACUCAUUUUCAUAUAACUUCAUAAUUAAUUCAACUAUGACCACUUAUUUUCACUUAACAUUUUAUCUAUUAAAUUUAUUUUUAAAACUCACAUUACUUUUUAUGUGAUACGAGUAAUUUUUACGAGACUUGCUAGUAUAUGUAUAUAUAUAGGGAUUUAAAUUAGUGAGUGUUGUAGCAUAAACUAGGUCCAACAAAACUCAGCAAAAGGAGUGGGACUCAUAAAUGAAGGGUGUAGAUUUCUGGGAAAAAGUGGAGACAGAGAGAGGGUAGGGAAUUAAAAGCGUGGCUCAAGCAACGGUCCCCCUCUUCCUACGUCCACCACGUCAUCACAAAGUAAAGAAUAGCAAACGGCGCGCACGAUAGAAAGCGACGGCCAUUGACGGAGACCGUCAGUCCGGUCAAAUACGUCCAAAGAAAUAUCACGGGAGAGAGAAAUAUAAUUAGGGGUGAAAAACUAAAAGGAGUAAAUAUCCAGCUGUGGUACAGUGAGUUUUUACUACUAAUGAGUGUUGACAGUAUGAAAAGCACCAAAAGUCAAAGUGAGACUUCAUUGCACUCUCCGUUUUGUAAUCAUUCACCUACUUUAAUUUAGGCUUUAUAGCUAAUGCCCCUAGCUCCUUUUCCCCGUUGACUAUAUUUUACGCCCUUGGUUGUUCCAAGCUUUUAGUAUCCAAUUUUCCUUUUUUGGUCGUCCCACAUUUUGGUAUCCAUUUCUAUUUUUGAUAAAAGUAGGUGGCACCCUUACUCCACUUUAAUUAUUUUAACUCUCACAUAAAAUGUGGGAUCCUUAUUCCACUCACAACACAUCAAUCACUUUAUUAAAACCCGUGUCAUUCUCAACUGGAUACCAAAAACUGGGACGGAGGGAGUAUUUACAAUCGCCAUUCGCCAACUCUGAUUGCAAAAAAUAUCUCAAAACCUUAGGACUCAUUUGAUUUUCAAUAAAGAUUUAUGUAGGAUAAUUUUUAACCAAGAUAUUUAGCGUGGAUAAUGACAGAUUAUUAAUACUGAGUUGGUGUUUGCUAUCAUGGCUAAAUAUAAAAUAUCCUGGUUUAAGUUAAUCCUAGGGGGAGGUGGUAUUAUUAAUCCUAAUAAAUCUGAAUUAAUAAUACUGGAUCGUGGAAUUAAACCGGGUCAUCCGCAUUAUUACUAGACUGAUCUGUACUAAAUUAGCUAAUACAGUGUAUUAGCCAAUAUCAAACACGCCCUAAUUAAGAUAUGUCUUCAACUACUAUAUUAAUCAUCGUGUUAGUAGGGAACAGUUAAAAUUUAGUGUAAGUUUGUUUUAUCCAAACAGGCAACUUCGCAACUGUUAGGCCCCGUUCGAUUUCACAUAUUAAGUAAGAUAAUGAGCUAUAUAUAACUAAGUCUUAUGUUUGGUUUAUUAGAUUUAAUCAUGUCAGGCCCAAGACAUAAUACAAAGAUUAGAGGGUCCAAAACUAAUCAUAUGAUUAUUGAUCGAAGCCUAUCCUUGCGACUAAAAGAAGUCUUGGACAACAAAUACAUUUUUGUCCUUAGAAUACUUCCUCCGUCCCACGAAACAUGACACAGUUUCUUUUUUGGUUUGUCCCACGAAGCAUGACACGUUCUUAAAAAUGGCAAAACAUUUACCCUUUAUUCACAUUUUCACUUUUUCACCUACCACACUUAACACACAAAAUAUCAAUUUCUUAAUUCUCAUGCCGAAAAGAAGUGUGUCAUGAUUCAUGAAACAGGGGGAGUAUUACAUUGCAGAAUCUUUGGGUUUAGACUUAUUUACUAUUUUUCAAUGCCAACUUUUCUAUUUUGUAACUAAUAUACUCCCUCCAUCCACGAAAUGAGUACUCAUUUGUGAACGGCAGGGGUUUUAAGAAAUGUAUUGAGUGUAGUGUGAAUAGAAUAAGGGUCCCACCUUUUUUAGUGUAUUAAUUAAAAAGUUUUGUGGGGUACACUUGCCAAAAAGGGAAAUGGAUACUCAUUUCGUGGACGGACGAAAAAGGAAAUAUGGGUACUCAUUUCGUGGACGGAGGGAGUAUUUAUUAUUUAUAAUUUAAUUUAAUUAUUUUAUACCGUUUUUCAAGUUAAAGCAAAAAAUUUGGAUGUGAAAUUCAUAAAUUAACGUAUUAUACACUUUUUUGGGAGAUAUAUUACAUAGGGGUAUAUCAGUAAAACUACAAUAAAUUGGUUUAGUAUAAUUUUGUAAACCGAACAUGAUUGCAAGAUUGUAUAACAAUUGACACUCCAAUCGAACAACUUUUUUUAGUCAUGAUUUAGUCUUGGUUUAUCUCAUACUAUAUCUAAUUGUUAUCUUAUCUAACAGACCGAACGGGCCCUUACUUUAUUACUAAGAGCAUUUCCAACGCGGGUCUUAAGAUCCACGUUGAUCCGCGUCGAAGGAGAGGGGGCCCCGCUGGAGACCCGGCGUGAUUCGAAGUCGUCGUGAAGGCAAGACCCGGGGCGAUGGGGGAGGUGUUUGGCGCGUCCCACGGACGCGCCAUAUUAAAAAAAAUAAUGUAAAAUUCGAUAUUUUUUUCAAAUUUUUUACCGUUUCCUUUAUUUAUUUAUUUUAAAAUUCGAUUGUUUCUUCCCCCAAACGGCUAGUUUGAAUUUUAAUUUUAUUUUUCUGUUCUUUCCCUUCUAUAAAUACCACACUUCCCCAAUCAAAUUCACUACUUUUUCAUUAUCUCAACUACAAUUCUCCCUUCAAAAAUUUUCAGGCAGUGGAUCGCGAGUUCGACGAAUACCCCGAGCAACAAGACGGAGGUUCGAGACUUCUUCCUAAUGUCUCGAUGAUGGGGUUUGCCCCGUUUUCGCAAGCCUCCAAUAUCUUGGCUAGGGGAAAUCGUCCCACGCCUACCAACGUCCAAGAAGUGCCGGAGGUGGAGAAGCCGAAAGCCAAGGGAACCCGCGCCCAAUACUCUAGCGAAGAGACCGAACUCGUGGCAAUCUUGUGGGCGGAGGCUACCCACAAUCCUAUUUUAGGAAUCUUCCAAAAGUUGCUCCAAUAUUGGGGAGCAAUCGCGGAAAAGUUCAACGCGCUCAAACCGCUGGGAGCGCCGACGCGUAAGUCGGAUCAUCUCAAAUCCCACUUCGCACGUGUCCAAAAAGACACGAAAUAUUUCGAGGGCUUCUACAACACUUGCAAGGACAAUUGGGGCAGCUGUAUGAGCGACGACCAAAUCACCCAACACGCCCAGACGAUGUUCGAGGCGAAUUUCAAGAAGCAAUUCUCCUACAUCAAAGCUUGAAAAGUCCUGCGCGACUGUGAAAGAUUCUCUUCGCAAGCCGAGGAUGUCCACUCCGCGAAGAAGUCGAAGGGCUCCGAUGGCCAAGCAACCACCACUUCUUUGGAGCCGAGUAUCACGCCGAGGCCCAAGGCCAAAAAACGGCAAAGCGAGACAAGGGCAAGGGGAAGAAAGGAGAAGAGACUUAGGGAAGUUCUGCGUACUCCGAUGCCUUUGAGAAGGUCACCGAAAGCAUGAAGGAGCAUGCUCUCCAAACGGGGCAAAUCGCCGAAGUCAAAAAAAUGCAAGCCGAGAUGAAAAGGUAGGAGAUGGAUAUGAAGCUCUUGAACACGGACACGACGAAUAUGUCGGAGGCACAAUUGGCCUUACACAACCACCUAGUCCAAUCAGUGCUCAAGCGUCGAUGACUUAUUUAGAUUAGGAAAUUAUUGUAAUUUUUAUUUAUUAUCUUAUUUAAUUAUGUCUUUAAUUUUAUUUUAAUUAUUGUAAUGUUUAAUUUUAAUUUUAAUAAAAUUUGGAAUUAAAAAAAAAAGUGUAGAAAUGUGAAUUUUGUGGAAAUCAGGAUCUAAGACCUCCUCUAAGACACAAUGCAUUGGAGAUGCUCUAAGGACAUGCUUGAUAGCUUAGUUGAGAUACGAAAAGAUAAAUAAAAUUUAAGAUAUGUAUUGUAACAAAAUAAAAUUAGUAAUGUAUUUUAAUGUUUGAUAGACUAUGACUAAAAUAUUGAUAAUAUGAAUUAGUUGUUUGAUAAUUUAGAUUGAAAAAAAACAAAGAAAAAUAUAAUGCACGUCCAUUAAUUCCUAUCCUCUCCCAAUUCAUCCUUUCUUCCCCGACCGCCCCCUCCGGCCAGCCUCCCCCUUCGUCGAUACCAACCUUACCCACCCCCCGGCGCGCUGCCCCGCCACCCCCUGCCUCCAGCCUUCCCCAACGACGCGUCCCUCCCCAACCACAUCGUCGUCGUCGCCCCCCACCCCCUUCUCCCUGUGCGACGCCCCGCUGCCCCCUGCCUCCAGCCUCCCCCAGCGCCGGCGUCCCUCCCCAACCACAUCGUCAUCGUCGCUCCCCACCCCCCUUCCCCCGCACGCGCCGCCCUAGGCUACAUCGAGAGAGGAACACAACAACUAGGGGUGGAAAAUCGGGUUGCGGGUAUCGGGUAUACCCUCACCCGUCCCGAUACCCGCGCGGGUAUCGGGUACCCGAUACCCGCAAAAUUCGGGUGGAGGGUUGGGUGCGGGUAUCGCAUCCUCAAAAAUCGCGGGUAGAGGGUACCCGCGGGUAUACCCGCGGGUACCCGCAUACCCGCAAUAAAUAUUUAAAAAAUAAAAUUAAAUAAUUUUAUUUAAUAAUAUUAGGAAUUAAACCAAUUAACCAAAAUUAAAUAUUAGGAAUUAAACCAAUUUUAUUAGGAAUUAAACCAAUAAAUAUUAGAAAUUAAACCAAUAAUAUUAGGAAUUAAACCAAUAAAUAUUAGGAAUUUUAUUUAAUAAUAUUAGGAAUUAAACCAAUUAGGAAUUAAACCAAUAAAUAUUAGGAAUUAAACCAAUAAAUAUUAUGAAUUAAACCAAUAAUAUUAGGAAUUAAACCAAUAAUAUUAGCAAUUUUAUUUAAUAAUAUUAGGAAUUAAACCAAUAAAUAUUAGGAAUUAAACCAAUUUUAUUUAAUAAUAUUAGGAAUUAAACCAAUUAACCAAAAUUUAAAAAUUAAAUUAAAUAAUUUUAUUUAAUAAUAUUAGGAAUUUUAUUCGUCACAGGUUUUAUGGAUAAUCGAUGAAAUAGAAAGGAUAUUUUCAAUUUUUUUUGUGAAAUGCGGGACAAAAUACCCUCUCGCGGGACGAAAUACCCUCUUGCGGGACGAAAUACCCUCCAACGGGACCAAAAACCCGCAAAAUUACAAUUAAAAAAAAAAUUGCGGGACUAUGAGGGUACCCUCAUACCCGCAGCGGGUAUCCGCUGCGGGUAUUCGGGUACCCGCAUCGGGGAAGAGGGUCGGGUGAGGGUGCCGUUUUCGGCAGUUUUCGUCCCGCGGGUACCCGCAUUUUGCGGGUAGGGUACCCGCGGGUACCCGAUUUUCCACCCCUAAGUCAACAACAAUGGUCGUGGGUUCGAAAAUUUCAUUCCUCAAUAACAAAGCCCAAAUAUGGCAUUCAAAAACCCCUAAGGCUAAACACAUAUUAAUACCACUUUCCUAGUUUGUUUUUUUGAAAAAUCCUGAGCCAAUUUACGUGUUCUAAAAUUCAUAAUAUAUGACGAGUAUAAACAUCGUGGAAGGAGCAAAAUCGAAAUGGAGGAAAGUAAUAUCAGGUACUGUAGCAGAACGUAUUGUGGAACGUGAGAAUUCCCACAAGUAACCAAAAUGAGAUAGUUUGUGACUUAUAUAGCCACCAAACAUAAAAGAUGACUUUAGGGGUCAAAAGGCAUUGAAAUGACAAACACACCCUUACUAAUUAGUAAUAAAAAUAAAAGAAAAAUAAAAUUGACUUUAGGGGUCCAACAAUGGCUCUCUCUCUCUCUUUCGAAUGACUCUCUCUCUCUCUCUUUCGAAUUCAGCAAGCUCUCUCUCUCUCUCUCUUCGAAUUCACCUUCUUCCUCAAAUGCUACACUCUCUCUCUCUCUUCGAAUUCACCUUCUUCCUCAUAAAUGACUCUCUCUCUCUCUUUCGAAGUGAAGGUGUAGGAUUGCAGUUGAGCCCUAGAUCGCCUCUCUUUCUCUCUCUUCGAAUUGAGCUGAUUCCUCAUAAAUGAAGCUAUCUUCCUCAGCCAUGAGAAUUUCGCAUGUUAAGGAUUCACCGUACAAAUCAAUAAAUGUGAUAGUAAAUGCAAAUGUUAAGGUAGGUUGGUGAAGAAAUAGAUGAAUAUUUGGGUGUGUGUUCAUUCUUCAUCUCUUUCUUUGUUUUUUCUAUCGAAAACCCACGAAAUUUCUGAAAAAAGUAUCGAUUUUUUAUUUGGAAAAGCUUGGGUCGGACGAAAUUGUUUGGGCAUUCUGAUUGUAUUUAGGUAUGUAUGUUAAAUUCAUAACAAAUGUAUCAAUUGUAUGUUUUAUUUUCUGAUUUUGGUGAGAAAAUUUCAGUACACAGUAGCCUCUGCGUAAAUGACACAGUUAAGACUAUAUUGGAAUCAAAAUCGAGAUUUAUUGUUGCGUAUUGAUAAAAUUUAGUUUUUUCACGUCUAAGAGCACGUUGAGUGUGAAAAAUAUAAAAUAAAUGCUUGAUUUUGAGGACACAGUUGGGAGAUAUGAAGGUGUUCUUUGCUACACAGUUGAGCUAAAUUGCACAGUGUAAAUAAUAUGCACAGUUGAAUAAUAUACACAGUUGGUAGAUAUGAAGGUGUUCUUAGCUACACAGUUGAGCUAAAUUGCACAGUGUAAAUAAUAUGCACAGUUGAAUAAUAUACACAGUUGACUAUAAUACUUAAAUAGUUGUAUAAUAAUAAAAUUCACUAAUCAAUACUAUUUAAUUUAGCUAGUUAAUUAAAUUAAUACGUGCACAAUAAUUGAUUCUAUUUGUACACGUUUGAUCAAAAUCAACCGUAUAAAUGUUGUGCACAUUUGACUAUAUACACAGUUGACAUAUUAUUAAUGAAUUAUCUUAAUUAUUUCUUAUUAAAAUUUAAUUAAUAUUUAACUUUGUUAAUAUAUCUAGUUAAUUAAUUUACUAAUUAAUCAUAUUAUUUAAUUUUAUUAUAAUAUUUAUUUUGAGCACAUUUGACUAUAAAGCGUACACAGUUGAUUCAUUUUGUACACAUUUGAUCAAAAUCAACCGUAUAAAUGUGUGCAUAGUUGAACAAUAUACACAGUUGACAUAUUAUUAAUUAAUUAUCUUAAAUAUUUAUUAUUAGAAAUUAAUCAAUAUUUAACUUUGUUAAUUUAUCUAGUUAAAUAAAUUACUAAUUAAUCAUAUUAUUUAAUUUUUUAUUAAUUAAGUUACAUAUUUAUUUAUUAUUAUUAUAAUAUUUAUUUUGAGCACACUUGUCUAUAAUGCGUACACAGUUGAUUAAAUUUGUACACGUUUGAUCAAAAUCAACCGGAUAAUUAUGUAUGCAUAGUUAAACACAUACACAGUUGACAUAUUAUUUAUAAAUUAGCUUAAAUAUUUCUUAUUAAAAUUAAUUNNNNNNNNNNNNNNNNNNNNNNNNNNNNNNNNNNNNNNNNNNNNNNNNNNNNNNNNNNNNNNNNNNNNNNNNNNNNNNNNNNNNNNNNNNNNNNNNNNNNNNNNNNNNNNNNNNNNNNNNNNNNNNNNNNNNNNNNNNNNNNNNNNNNNNNNNNNNNNNNNNNNNNNNNNNNNNNNNNNNNNNNNNNNNNNNNNNNNNNNNNNNNNNNNNNNNNNNNNNNNNNNNNNNNNNNNNNNNNNNNNNNNNNNNNNNNNNNNNNNNNNNNNNNNNNNNNNNNNNNNNNNNNNNNNNNNNNNNNNNNNNNNNNNNNNNNNNNNNNNNNNNNNNNNNNNNNNNNNNNNNNNNNNNNNNNNNNNNNNNNNNNNNNNNNNNNNNNNNNNNNNNNNNNNNNNNNNNNNNNNNNNNNNNNNNNNNNNNNNNNNNNNNNNNNNNNNNNNNNNNNNNNNNNNNNNNNNNNNNNNNNNNNNNNNNNNNNNNNNNNNNNNNNNNNNNNNNNNNNNNNNNNNNNNNNNNNNNNNNNNNNNNNNNNNNNNNNNNNNNNNNNNNNNNNNNNNNNNNNNNNNNNNNNNNNNNNNNNNNNNNNNNNNNNNNNNNNNNNNNNNNNNNNNNNNNNNNNNNNNNNNNNNNNNNNNNNNNNNNNNNNNNNNNNNNNNNNNNNNNNNNNNNNNNNNNNNNNNNNNNNNNNNNNNNNNNNNNNNNNNNNNNNNNNNNNNNNNNNNNNNNNNNNNNNNNNNNNNNNNNNNNNNNNNNNNNNNNNNNNNNNNNNNNNNNNNNNNNNNNNNNNNNNNNNNNNNNNNNNNNNNNNNNNNNNNNNNNNNNNNNNNNNNNNNNNNNNNNNNNNNNNNNNNNNNNNNNNNNNNNNNNNNNNNNNNNNNNNNNNNNNNNNNNNNNNNNNNNNNNNNNNNNNNNNNNNNNNNNNNNNNNNNNNNNNNNNNNNNNNNNNNNNNNNNNNNNNNNNNNNNNNNNNNNNNNNNNNNNNNNNNNNNNNNNNNNNNNNNNNNNNNNNNNNNNNNNNNNNNNNNNNNNNNNNNNNNNNNNNNNNNNNNNNNNNNNNNNNNNNNNNNNNNNNNNNNNNNNNNNNNNNNNNNNNNNNNNNNNNNNNNNNNNNNNNNNNNNNNNNNNNNNNNNNNNNNNNNNNNNNNNNNNNNNNNNNNNNNNNNNNNNNNNNNNNNNNNNNNNNNNNNNNNNNNNNNNNNNNNNNNNNNNNNNNNNNNNNNNNNNNNNNNNNNNNNNNNNNNNNNNNNNNNNNNNNNNNNNNNNNNNNNNNNNNNNNNNNNNNNNNNNNNNNNNNNNNNNNNNNNNNNNNNNNNNNNNNNNNNNNNNNNNNNNNNNNNNNNNNNNNNNNNNNNNNNNNNNNNNNNNNNNNNNNNNNNNNNNNNNNNNNNNNNNNNNNNNNNNNNNNNNNNNNNNNNNNNNNNNNNNNNNNNNNNNNNNNNNNNNNNNNNNNNNNNNNNNNNNNNNNNNNNNNNNNNNNNNNNNNNNNNNNNNNNNNNNNNNNNNNNNNNNNNNNNNNNNNNNNNNNNNNNNNNNNNNNNNNNNNNNNNNNNNNNNNNNNNNNNNNNNNNNNNNNNNNNNNNNNNNNNNNNNNNNNNNNNNNNNNNNNNNNNNNNNNNNNNNNNNNNNNNNNNNNNNNNNNNNNNNNNNNNNNNNNNNNNNNNNNNNNNNNNNNNNNNNNNNNNNNNNNNNNNNNNNNNNNNNNNNNNNNNNNNNNNNNNNNNNNNNNNNNNNNNNNNNNNNNUCAGAUGAUGAGGUCGUCGACAAGCGUCGUGAAGAGAUAGUGUUGGCGGCAAUCCAUGAAUUUACAGGUUGGAUUCGCCAACCUGGUCACCUCGAGAAGAUGAUUGGGAAUCGUAAAUUUUCUUCUGAUGAUCAUGGUAACAAAGAUGUGCCUGCUGAAGAUGACGUUCCUCAUUCAAGUAAUGAACUCCGCAAUUGGUUGAUUGUUAUCCCAGAUUUUGAUAGUGCCUUACCAUUGAAUUGGGCUGAACCAUAGUUUCCAGAUAAAGACCAACUUGUGGUGAAUGCCACAUUUCGGUCUAAGGAUGAGUUGGCAAUUGCUGUAGGGCUUUAUCACAUGGAGAAAAAAGUGGAGUACGCGGUGGAUCGAUCCACCACCGAACGUGUGGGUUAUAUCUGCAAACAUGACGACGAAUGCCCUUUCAAGUUGCGUGCAGUCCAGGAAGUUGGACUUUGGAGAAUCAUUAAGUUCAUUCCAAACCACACUUGUCGUUCGAAUUUGACUCGCACUGCUCCGAGAAUGGUGCCGUCUAGAGUAGUUGCUGCAUACUUUUCACGAAAAUUAUCGGUGGAGAGGAUUGUUCUAAAGCAUUAGAAAUACAUACCUGAUUCGCUUCCCCAUUUACUCACGUCUGUCACAAGUCUUGCUUUGCGGUCCAGGGAUAUUGCUCUAGAGAUGAUGUAUGGUGGGUUCGAGCAAUCUUAUCAGAGGCUCCCGACUUAUCUAUACUUGUUGGGGGAGCGUAAUACUGGGACCAUAUAUGAUAUUCAGACUACUCAGAUGGGUGAGUUCCGCUACAUGUUUUUAGCUCUUGGACAGUCUAUUCAUGCCUUUCAAAAUCAUCUUAGACCUGUCAUUGUAGUAGAUAGAACCCACCUUAAAGGAAAGAACAAAGGGGUUCUCUUUGUCGCAGUUACCAAAGACGGUAACGAAGGGGUCUUUCCACUUGCAAUUGGUCUUGGUCCGAUCGAGAAUGACGAAUCAUGGACAUAUUUUUUCUCGAUGCUGCGUGCGAGCCUAGGAGAUCCACCGGAUGACUUACUGAUCGUGUCUGAUCAACACACGAGCAUCCGGAGUGCCAUUGAGUCCAUAUACCCGAAUGUUGCUCACGGGUUGUGCUUUUAUCAUAUACAGAAGAACUUGGCGCGAUUUGGCCGUCACGUAGCUGAAAUAUACAAAAAUGCAGCCUACAGUUAUCGACAUGAAGUAUUUAACUUGAGCUUUGCUGCUUUGGAAGCCCACCACCGGGCGGGUGCUUACAAGAGACUGACAGAUAUUGGGGUUGAAAGGUUAGUUUUUUUAUUCACAUACUGUACACAGUUGAUUCACAGAGCACACAAUCAAUUGAAUUCUUUAUACACAGUUGAUUCACAUAGCACACAAUCAAUUGAAUUCUUUAUACACAGUUGAUUCACAGAGUACACAAUCAAUUGAAUUCUUCAUACACAGUUGACAGAUUAUUAUUUAUUUAAUAAGGUGGGCAAGAUCGAAGUGUCCGGUACGGCGCUACAGUUUUAUGACGUCUAAUGCAGCUGAAAGUAUGAAUGCUCGAUUGUUAUGGGCGAGACGUCUGCCGGUUUGCGCCAUGUUGGAAGUGUAUCGCUCAACUGUAGAACAAUGGUUUGACCAACGACGCGCAGAAGCUUUAGCCAGAGACCACGAGAUGACAGAGGAGGCUUUCAGAAAACUAUCUUUAUCUGUAGAAUCGGGUCGUCGCUAUACUGUUCGGGGAACAACGACACAUGUAUUUAAAGUCGAAUUAGAGAACAAGACAACCUUUGUUGAUCUACAAAGCUGGACAUGCGAUUGUCGUGAGUUUGAUUUGGACAUGAUACCUUGUCGUCACGCUUGUGCUGCUAUACAGUAUCUCAGUUAUUUAAUUCGUAUAUUGUUUCCAAGUUAUUGAUCGUUUUUACAAUUGAUCAUUUUUUAUUUUUUGUUUUUAUUUUAGGCAUGCCAACCUCAACGUCUAUGACUUUGUGGGACGUUAUUUCAAACAACAUGCCUUAUUACAAACUUAUGCAGCUCGGGUAGAGCCAGUUCCACAACCUGACACGUGGGAUGUGCCGACUUCAGUAUCUGGCUACAUUAUUCGACCACCGGUCAUUAAGCGACAAUCUGGACGACCGAAAGACAGCAGAGCUCAAUCACAUCUUGAGAAAUCGUCAUCCACCACACCGCGUCAAAUCUGUGGCAGGUGUAAAGGCCAUGGGCACAAAUAGGGAUGGCAAUGGGCCGGAUCUGGACCGGAUCCUGCUUGGUCCAGAUCCAGAUCCUGAUUUUUUGACUUAGGCCCAGAUCCGGUCCAGAUCCAAUGGAUCCAAAAAAAUGAGAUCCAGGUCCAGAUCCAUAAGAUCCACAGGGUCUCGGGUCCAGACCCGGAUCCAUACUUUUUGUCUUCUAAAUUAAAUUUAUAAAUCUUAAAUUAAUCCCAAAUAAAAUUAUAAUUAUUGUCUAGAUUUUCAACAAUUAUUCAAAAUAAAUGAAUUAACCAUAUUCUAUAAAAAUAUUAUCGAAGUUUAAUAACAAUAAGAAUAUAAUAAUCAAGUACUACUAAAUAACAGUGGAACAAUGUGUCCUCUAUUUACAUAGAAAGAAUUAAUGUUAUCAAUAAUAAUAAUAAUAAUAAUAAUAAUAAUAAUAAUAAUAAUAAUAAUAAUAAUAAUAAUAAUUAAUAAUAAUAAUAAUAAUAAUGAAACUAAAUUUAAUUAAAUAAAGUAAAUAUUAUCUUUAAUUGCAUUAUAUAUUAUUAUGAAAGAGAUAUAUUGAUUAUCAUAGAUAUUAGAUUAGAGUUAGAUAAAAUAAUAACAUUAUAUAUAUUUUUAUAUAUAAAUGGAUCCAUGGACCGGAUCUGGACCGGAUCUGGGUCUCAGAUUUUUUGCUCCAGAUCCAGAUCCGGAAAUUAUAGGAAUAACCCAGAUCCGGUCCAGAUCCAUUGGGUCCAUUUUUCCUAAGGUCCAGAUCCUAAAAAAUGGAUAUGGAUCUGCGGAUCUGGACCGGGUCCAGGAUCCAUUGCCAUCUCUAGACACAAUAGGAGAUCAUGCGCGGCAUCUCUUCCUACCGAGGACGUGGACCCUCAACCACAGAAGGGCCGACAAAAGAAGAAGUGCAGUAUAUGUAAGAGUACGGAUCAUACGAAGAAAAAAUGCCCUCCUCCUCCACAAGAGGACUGUUAGCAAUUGUGUAUGCAUUCAACUGUGUACUCUAUUUGAGCGACUGUUAUUGUGCACCGGAUAACUGUGUAUGCAUUCGACUGUGUUCUAUCAUUGUGCACUGUCAUUGUGCACGUACGUAAACUAUUCCUUUGGCCGAUUUGAGGGCGUUUGGGCAAUGGAAAUUAAGAACUUGAACAUCCUAAGUUAAUUUCUAAUGGUUAACAAAAUCAAAUUGAAUAUAUUUUUAAUUGAAACACGUGUAAAUUACUAAGAUGCUAUUAUAUGACACUAACAUAUACACUUACUACACUUAAGUUACAUAUGAUAUAUGUUCAAUAUGUUUGAGCGAGUGAUGGAUAUGAACACAAUUACUCAUUUUAUUGAAUAUAAUGUUUACAAUACAUUUCAAUACUAAUUUCACUUAAUUGCAUCUCAAUUACUAAAAUAUGCCCCGUUUAAAGGGUAGUUAGCCCGCAGCUGUGUAUGCAUUACUGUGUAUUAUUGUGCACUGUCAUUGUGCACCGUAUAACUAUUCUUUUGCCGAUUUUGAGGGUUUGGGCAAUGGAAAUUAAGAACUUGAACUUCUAAGUUAAUUUCAAUGGUUAACAAAUCAAAUUGAAUACUUGUUUUUAAUGAAACACGUGUAAAUUACUAAGAUGCUAUUAUAUGUACACUAACAUAUACACUUACUAUACUUAAGUUAUAUGUGAUAUAUGUUAAUUAUGUUUGAGCAAGUGAUGGUUAUGAACACAAUUAACUCAUUAUAUUGAAUAUAAUGUUUAAUAAUACAUUUUAAAUACUUAAUUUCAACUAACUGCAUCUCAAUUAUGAAAAUAUGCCCCGUUUAAAGGAUAGUUAGCCCACAAAUGUGUAUGCAUUAAACUAUGUAUUGUCAUUGUGCAUAAUUGAUAAAUUCAAAAUAUGUGCACAGUAGCUAAACACGUACACAGUAGCUAAAUACGCACACAGUAGCUAAAUACGUACACAAAAACAGCCCACAAUCCAAAGCAGAGUUCAACAUCCAACCUAAAUAUCAAAUAGUAAGAGAAAAUAUCCGAUGAGCAACACGAUGCCUAUACUGGGACAAGUACGUCUCGUCGAUAGCCCCUCGAUGAUGCUCUGUGCGCGUCAAGAGACGAUCAAGUAUCAUGGUGCAAAAGGGGCCGCAACUAACCGAGUCCGUCUAACUGUGUAUGCAUUAAACUGUGUAUUGUCAUUGUGCACUGUUUUACACAAUUGAAGACUCGUACACACUUGAGAAUUUGGUACACAGAUGAAAAUUCGUGCAUAGUUCAUCCAAUUUGUACACAAUAUUAAUUCAAUUAAUACAGAUGAAAAUUCGUGCACAGUUGAAGACUCGUACACACUUGAGAAUUUGGUACACAGAAGAAAAUUCGUGCACAGUUCAUCCAAUUUGUACACAUGUAAUUUAAUUUCCUUAAUUAAUUAGUACACAGUUCAUCCAAUUUGUACACAGUCAAUUCAAUUAAUAUAGAUAAAAAUUCGUGCCCCGUUUGAGUGAGUAAUGUCUAACGUGCUACUUAACUUACGUAUAAUAAAUGUUAAAGAUAUUUGAGUGCCACAUGAAUAUGAACAAACUUAACUUUAUGAUUGUAUAUGAACAAAUUUAACUUAUUGAUUUGUAAUUUGUAAGUUAACUUUAUUAUUUUUAACAUAAUUGUUAUUUACACACUUGAAUAUUCAUACACAGUUAAAAAAUAGAUAUACAAUUGAUAAAUUCGUGCACAAUUUAUUUAUAAUUUACUGAAUUAAUUAGUACAUAAAUGAUAAAUUCGUACAAAGAUACUUUAAUUUACUAAAUUAAUUAGUACACAAUUGAUAUAAUAAGUGCAGAGUUGAUAUAAUUCAAAAUAAGUGCACAAUUGAUACAAGUACACAAUUGAGUUUGUGCAUAAUUGAACAAAGUUAAUCGUGUACCUCAAAUUCCCACAAACAAUCUUGAAAGCAAGAAAAAGACUUUAAUGGAUCAAACGCAAACCGGGCAAUGAACCAACCCAUUCUCCUUACACUCUCCACACCUCUCUUUGACGCCCCUAACAACUAUCUUGCAACUACCCGCACACCCCAAACACAGCAAUAAGCACGUGAACGAUACACCUGGAACAUUGAGUGCUGAGGCGUCUCCUGAUAAAUUUCCUCUUGUCAAUCCAUCACAGAAGUUGAUCCAAACCUAGAAAAUCUACCUUCUCUAUUCUAGUCUUCCUUUUAAGGUCCUCUGAUUGCUUUGAUGAGUUCACUCACUCCAUCAGUAGCAGAACCUGUAUUAAAAAUUCUCUGUACCAGAAUUGCGCUUCAUCUUCUUCUGAAUAUCUGUGGCUGCACCGCCUUCAUCUACGUUGCUGGUUUUCACAGUCGCCGGAUUUGGGAGUGGCUGAGCCAGUUCGCAGACUUCGUACACCCAGACGCAAUCGUCACCGCUGGCCUACUUGUCUGCGGCAGUGAUGGAGCUCGUUGUCGCAGGUAUCGCAGAUGGAAAGUGGAGUCGGCUUGACAGAAGACGGUGGUGGAACUCACCGGAUUUUCUAUCAAAUGAGACAUGGCGGUGGCGUUUGUCAAUGUUUUGUAUGGGCAGACCUUCUACCGGAGCUACGGCGAGAGCGGUCGGCGGGGAUCUGUUGAGUUGGCUCCGCGUCGCAGCAGUUCAGAGGAAGAGGAACCAGCUACUAAAGCUUUUGCUGCCGACGAAGGCGGUCAACGGCGGCGGCGUUUUAGAGGGAUGGAAACGGCUUCUCGCCGGAUUUCAGGAACCAAUCGGUGCAAGGGUGCGACGGUUGCUGUAUCUCUAUGUAUGGGUGCUUCUGUUUCAACGUGAGGAGAGAGAGAUUAAGGGUAUGGUGGUGUAGGCGGCGUCUCAUGAACCGGCGAGAGAUAGUCGACCGGCGAUUUCUGGGAGAUUUCUAGGAGAGGGUUGGAGACGACGAACCGCGAAGAGAGAGAGAGGCGAGCGAAGAGAGAGUCGACCGGCGAGAGAGAUUGAGAGAGGCUACCGGAAAUCAAAAUGGCUGGGAAAGGGUUGGAGACGACGAUUCGACGAACUAGAGAGAAUGAGUGAAUUUGAAAUGGCCGUUACCUUGUUUAAUUUAGGGUUUUUUUUAAUUGUUAAGUCAAAGUUCAUAUUUUUAUUUUGUUUUAUUUUAUAUUUUAUAUGUUAAUAUUUAUCUUAAUUUUCUUUUAUUUUUAUUCAGUAAUUAGUAAGGGUUGUUUUGUCUUUUCAAUAGCUUUUGACCCCUAAAGUCAUCUUUUAUGUGUGGUGGCUAUAUAAGUCCUAAACUAUCUCAUUUUGGUUACUUAUGUCUUUCUCCCUUUUUUUUUUAGGGGAAAAGCGAAGCAACUUUAUUAUAAAUCACGAUGAACAACUUAAUUAACAAAGUUGAAACAAAUAUAUAAUGCUCCCUCCAUCCCUGAAAAUUGUGACCAUAUUACUAUAUGUCUCUAAAAAUUGUGAUCUUUCUUUAUUUUGAAAUAAUCCCACAAACUUUUUCUCUCACUAUUUACAAAAAAAGUGAGAUCCAAUCUCCACUCAAAGACAACUACUACACUUUUUCUUAAAAUUCGUGUCACCUCUAUUGAAUCACAAUUUUUAGAAACGGAGGGAGUAUUAUUCUAACAUACGAAAUGUCACCCAAAAUUUGUCAUAUAGACAUUGUCUACUUGUUUUCCAUCUUAAAGAGAGAAAGAGGAAAAAAAAACUUAACUAUGAGUAGUAAUAUUUUCUAACUAAUGCAUACAUUAAUUAAUAAAUUUAAACAUUAAUUAUAAUUUUCAUUUCAGUUAUAUUUAACCAUGAAUUAAACUUUUUUUAGGUAAGCAUGAACUCAAGCUAGUAACAUUAAAAUAUAAAAAUCUAAUAAAUUUAAGAUCUAAAGAAAUACAAUUAUUAGCAAAUAAAAACCAAAUAAAAUAUAACUAAAAUGAAGAAUUAUUAUUAAUCUUCAUUCUUUAAAGUUUGCUAUAUAUUAUAAUUAAAGAAUGAAGAUUGAUUAUGAUCUCCAUUACUUAUCUUAGUUUUAAUUAUAAUAUUCACAUAAAAAUAAAAUAAAGUUAGAAAAUGAUAUCACCCAAUUUUGAUUUUUUUUAAUUAUCAAAAUAAAGUUAAUUAAUGAUAUCAUCCGAAUAUAUUUUUUUUUUUUUGCUAUGGCCCAUACAAGAACAGUUCCACACUUUUUAACAUAAAAUCGGUGGCCCAUUAUUUAAUUUUAUUACAAAACCCUAGUAUAUACUUACGUUGAUUGGUUGUGUGCCUUAAUACACAUCUCACUCUUUUCUCAUUUUCUCUCUCCAUUGUCGAUUUUUCAAACACUCUACAAUUUCAAAAUUCUAUAGUCAAUUCUCUUCUCUCUUCUCAAAUUUUUCUAUCGAUUAUUCAUUUCCAUGGCUAUAUUGUUAUUUUUCUUUUUCUAUUUUUUUUUGGUUACAUGCUAAAUUUUUGUAGAUGUAUCAUUAUCUACAUAAAAUUUUGCUUACAAAGCAUUGCACAUUUUUUACUGUAUCUUUUAAUUUCGAUUACUAUAUGUAACUCAUAUAAUUAAAAUAUUCAUGGUUAUAUUCGUUGUUUUUUUGUGGUUACAUGCUAAUUUUUUGUAGAUCUAUCAUUAUCUACAUAAAAUAUUGCAUACAACCUUUGAACAUUUUUUAUUUAUCUUUAUAUUUUGAUAACAAAAAUGCUAUGCAUUUGUACUACUAAUUUUUCUUGCGUUGUUUAUGCGAUAUUUUUGUAGAUCCAUCUAUUCUAUAAAAAAGUAUUGUUUUUAACCAAUAUUUUUCUAUAGAUCUAGUAGAUUUUAGUAUGCUAAUAUAUAAUUUUGUAUUAUAUUCUUUAGAUCUAAGUCUUUACUUAAUUGCUCUACUAUUCCUCAUGACCAAUGGGAUGAUACUGAGUCAAAACAUAAAAGAGUUGCGUCAUGUUCAACACAGAAUCAAAAUCAAUAAACAUCCUAAUUCCUCAUACGUAUGGCAAGAAAUUUUAAAGAUUCAAACAUCAAAGGUAAGUAAGAACAUUUAUUUCGUUUACAAUCAAGUAAAUAUGAGGAUAUUUUAAAAUGAACAACUCUUACCUAAAAUAUUAUUCCUACUUCUGUAAAAUCUCAUGUCAGAAACAGCGGUUGAGCAUAUUACAUAAUAAAUUCUCCUUUUCUUCUGUUGAUAAUAUGUAUGAAAUUCUUGGAACUGUAGUUUGUUAUAAAUUCGAAUAAACUAACAAAUUGUUCUUCAGCGCCUGCCUACUAUAUGAAACUUGAUGAAAACUUUCUCUCUUCCUCUCUAUAGUUUAAAACUUUGAAUCGAAACCAUCAGAAGAAAUUUUGCUGAAUGCUUGCAUGAUAACCCUUCAAAUUAAAUAAAUAUAUAAGUACUACAUUUGUAUUAAAAUCAGAAUUAAAAAAAAAAGUUUGAAUUAUACCUUUUUAUCAUGGAAAAUACUUUCACUAUUCUGCAUUUGCCUAGCUCUAAAUCCUUGAUCAUUCAAAAAAGUGAAUGCAUAAUCGAAGUAGUGAGGCACAAAAAAAUUGAUAGAAAUAUGUAGAUAUGUUCCACGCAGUGAAUUGGAUAGAAGAUAGAUGUAGUACUGAUGCUACGUAGAGAAAUUGGAGAGAGAAGAUAGAUGUAGAAAUGAUGCUAGAAUUGAGAGAAGAUAGAUGUUGAAAUGCAGUAGAGAAGAUAGAGGUAGAAAUGCAUGAGAAUUAGAGAGUGAAGAUAGAUGUAGAACAAAUAGAUGUAGAAAUGCAGGAGAAUUGGCUAGUGAAGAUAGAUGUAGAACUGGUGCUAGAAUUGAGAGAAUAUAGAUGUUGAAAUGUAGUACAAAAAGAUAGAUGUAGAAAUGCAGCAGAGAGAAGAUAGAUGUAGAAAUGAUGCUUUGCAGAGAUAUGAAUGAUGCUAUGCAGAGAAACGAUGCUACACAGCAAUGAUGUUGAGAGAAGAUGUAGAAAUGAUGCGGUGAGAAGAUAUAUGUAGAAAUGAUCGAUGCUAGGCGAGAAAUAAUUCUGCUGCGAAAUGAUGCUGCACAGAGAAUUGUUGAAGAUGCUGCAGAGUGAUGCCUCGCAGAGAUUUAGAGAGAACCAAGGAAGCAAAAUGUGUGAAAUUUUUAAUUUAUAAUUAUGUUAAAUGUAACUGCUACAUAUGGAAAUUUAUAUUUAUAUGUUUUUAGUUUUAUUGAAAUGUGUGAUAUCUCGAUUUUUUUCCCAUAAGAAAUUUAGAAGACCUUUAAUUAGUAUAUUAUUGAUACACGCCCGGGUUAAUAAAGUGAUAUUAUUUCAAAGAGAUUUUACAUAUUUAAGUUCAUUACUAUUAUUUUGUUUGAUCAAAGAUCUUGAGCCCAAUACUAAAUUAUAUGAGAUAUAUUACUAAAAAGAUUUUUCAUUCUAUUUAAUAUUUAACUUCUGUUGGACCUCAAGCCCAAAUUUUCCUUUUAGUUUGGUGAUGGCCCAAUUGAUGAGAACAAUAUGUACGUGUGAUCAUAUUAGUUAAAUCGUUUCCUAUUUUCCCAAGAUUUUACUGUGCCAGAUUUUUCUACAAGUGGAAAUUUUUAAAUCCCUCAACUCUUGUAUAACAUUCAACCACGUGAUCCUUUUGUUUCCUUAAAUAUAUUCCCUGAUCCACAAACAUUUCUACCGUCAUUUCCUCAAGCAUUCUGCAGAAUCUAUUUUUCCAUCCGAGACAUACUUGAUCGCUAAUUCCAGAAGCUCAGAAAUUUCAACCAGAUCAGUAUAUUAAGGUUCACUUUAUUCUCUUUGCAUAAAAUUCACUUACACUCUUUUUGUCUCCUUUGUGUAAACAAACAAGAUUAUUUCCUUUUUGUUACAGAUAAUCACAAACAAAGACAACAACAUACUCACUGAACAAGGUUCACUCUUCUUCCAACUCUUUAUCUCCAAACGUGUAUUUCUCCCCUAUCACUACAAGAACUGAAAUUAGACUCUCACACAUAGACCUUGGCAUAAUUUUUGAAACUUCUUCACACAACAAUUUUCGUUUUGUUUUUGAGAAGAAUCUGUACAAAGCAAACAAGGACCCAACUAUUUCAUAACCUGUAAAAUUUCUCAAUUCUGCACCAAGAAUCGUUUUUUUUCGGAAUCUGAGAAUUUUUCCUUUCGUUGCCUUGUUGAGUGCGAGAGACGAGAGGGAGACGAGGGCAGGCUGUCCGAGCUCGACGCCGAGCUGUCAAAGCCGCGGCUGCCGGCGCUGCAUGCGUUGCAGCAGCCCGCCGGUCACCCACGGCCAAGACAGACGGAGUCGGAGCGAGGCGGCGUCGUGGGCGAGGUCGGGGCGGCGCGGCCGAAGGCCGAGCGCCGCUGACGCGGCAUGAACGGAGCAGCAGCGGCGGCGACCCUCCUUGGCUGUCUGCUGCCGAAAACGAGAGAAGGAAAGCGAUGAGUGAGGGAGGCCUCGGAUCCGGCGAUCUCGCCGGAGCUGGAACAGGCUGUUAAUAGUGGCUGCAUGCUUGUGUAUAGAAGGGUGUUAAAUUGAUAUAUCAAGAGAGUAAAGGAGUUAGUAGCAAAUAUGGCAAAGUUUUUGUUGUAGCUGCUGCAUGUUACUGUUAUUACUUUCUUGAGAAGAUCUUAGCCGUUGAGUUUUGAAGGGUGGAGAUCAUGCAUCAUUCUUAUACACAAAAGCUACUAGAUGUCUUGGUUUUAGUACUCUGUUUUCGAGUAGUGAGAAUAUCAGAGAGGGAGAUUGAGUGAGAACUCUUGUAAGCAAGAACUCAUAUUGAUUCUUGCGAGUGAUCCAAUAGAAUUUGGUGAGGACUGAGAGUUUGUAAUUCUUUUCUGCGAUUGAUUCAAUAAUAUAGCUAAUUCUCCCGUGGACGUAGGGUUUAAAUCCCGAACCACGUAAAUCUCGACUUGUUAUUUUUAGUUUCGCAUUUGUUCAUCACAAAUUGGCGCCGUCUGUGGGAAUCUACUUCCACCGCCGAUUGAUCGAUACAUUUCUGGGGGGAGCGGAUCCACGAUGACAACGACGAGAUUUGAUGCGGAGAAAUUCUCUGGGAAAAAUGAUUUUGCGCUGUGGAGACUUAAGAUGAAAGCGAUGCUGGUUCAGCAAGGACUCGCCGACGCUCUGAAACCACCGCCGAAGAAAGAUGUAGAGGCGGAUAGCAAAUCCACCGAGGCGGCGGCGAUCAAGAGGGCUGAGAUAAUGGAGAAGGCGCACAGUGCUGUCAUUCUAUGCCUCACAGACAAAGUUUUGCGCGAAGUGGCAAAAGAAACCACUGCAGCUGGGAUCUUGGAUAAAUUGGAGAGUUUGUAUAUGACGAAAUCUUUAGCUAAUCGUCUAUACAUGAAGCAUCGCCUCUACUCAUACAAGAUCGUGGAGGAAAGGGGGAUUGCGGAGCAGCUAGAUGAGUUCAACAAAUCCAUUGAUGACCUAGAAAACAUUGACGUACAAAUAGAAGAUGAAGACAAAGCAAUAAUGCUCUUGAAUGCAUUACCAAAAAGCUAUGAUCAAUUGAAAGAUGCGAUGCUUUAUGGAUGUGAGAACUCUAUCACUCUCGAGGAAGUUCAAAACGCCCUUAAGGCAAAGCAAUUACAAAAGCAAAUCAAUGGGGGCUCAAUAGAUCCAGCAGGAGAGAGCUUGAAUGUAAAGAAAUUCAAGUCAAAGAAAACCAAGAAACCAGAAAAUCAGUCCAAGAAACAGGCCCCUCAACCGAAGGGCAAAGAUGCUGAUCAAAAGGAAACAAGAAAAUGUCAUUGGUGCCAUAAGCCUGGGCAUCUGAUGAAAGAUUGCUAUUCUUUCAAGAAGAAGCAGUCAAAAGAAGGCCAGAAAGUCGACUCCACAGAUGUUGCAGAGGAGUUUGAGCAGGCUGAAAUGUUAAAUGUCAUGGAUGGAGGUGUGGAAGGGGUCUGGAUCAUGGAUUCGGCCUGCAGUUUUCACAUGACCUCACACAAAGAAUGGUUCACAGACAUUCAGGAAGCAGAGAGAGGAUCAGUUUUGCUGGGAAACAACCAAGUAUGCAAGGUCAGAGGAAUUGGAAAUAUUAAGAUGAAAAUGCAUGAUGGUUCCCUUAAAAUUUUAACUGAUGUUAGAUACAUUCCUGAGAUCAAAAGGAAUCUUAUUUCUCUUGGUAUGCUUGAAGCCAAGAGUUAUAUUUUUCAUUCUGAGAAAGGUCACAUAUAUGUUAGUAAGGAUGCUAAAGUUGUUAUGAAGGGAAUUAGAAAGAAUCAACUUUAUUAUCUUGAAGCUACUGUGGUGUCUGGGACCUCAAAUGCUGUUAUGACAGUCAAUAUGGAUCUAUGGCAUAUGAGACUAGCUCAUGUAAGUGAAAAUGGUUUAAGAGAAUUGAUGAAGCAAGGCCUGAUAAAAGUAGAUGGUCCUAAGAAUCUUGGAUCCUGUGAUCAGUGCAUAUUGUCAAAGAGUAAGAAAGCACCUUUCAAAGUUGGUAAACAUACAUCAAUGGCUCCCCUAGAUUAUGCUCACUGUGAUCUUUGGGGCCCUACACAAACUGUAUCCAUUGGAGGUGGAAGAUGGUUCAUGAGUAUCAUAGAUGAUUUUUCUAGAAAGCUUUGGUUGUUUGUAUUGAAAGACAAGACCGAAGCCUUCAAGAAGUUCAAAGAUUGGUGUAUUGAGGUUGAGGUGGAGAAAGGCACUACUCUUAAGUGUCUAAGAACAGACAAUGGAUUGGAAUU
rnacentral:lncRNA from 1 species